UGCGUCUCAGUUUGCCUCAGACUUAAGUGGCUGGUGGAAGUGAGAGAUCUCUAAAGAUUCACCCAAUCCCAUUGUUCUAAGGUAAUAAAUCCUAUAAUUGCUGUAUCCUCAGAACCCAGCACGGGGCACUGCAUACGGUAGAUCUGCUUAACCAUGUACCAAAUGCAUCCGCCUCUUCCCCAACAUCCAUUACUACUGGAACCCACCAAGAACUGAAUUCCAUGGUACUUCUCAGGAUUCUUGAGGUCUGGACUAAGCCCUGGAUUGGGAAAGACGUGUUUAUGAUGCAGACCAGUUGGGGAGAUUUUUCUUGAAGGAGCAGCAGCUUGGGAAUAGCUGACCUGGUGCAGAUCCUGAGACUCAGAGAGGUUAAGAAACUCGCCCAACGCCACACAGCUAGAUAAACACCUCAGGAUUUAAAUAGAUUGCAGGGGACACCAACAAGGCUCUGCUCAGAUCCCCUCAGAUCCCUCUGGCCCAUCUGUGCAUGCAGUAACAUCUGCUUCACCGUUGACUGCUUGAACCUGUGGAUCCACUUCACCUAAGAGCACAGAGAGCUGAAAGGGCCUGGAAUCCUGUUGCCUCCCGGGCAGCCUGCAGCCAAUGAGUAACUGGUGCUGGAAAACAGAAGGCUGCUCCCUUGCUGGAGUGAACAUGCAUUAUUUGUGUAAUAAACAGAAACAAAAAUCUCGUUGUUUAAAGCCAUCCAUGAAGACCAUGUGAGAGGGUGGAAAAGGGAGGCUGGAUUCUACUAAUUGGAUUGGAGGAAGAUGUAGCAAGGAAGAAGAAAUGGGCCCUUGGCAUGUGGCAGGGAGGGGACCUACUUAAUCAAACUCAAUGAUAACAGGAGUAACGGUGAUUAAACUUCUUUGAUUCAAC
rnacentral:lncRNA from 1 species